rnacentral:lncRNA from 1 species
GUUUUCUUCCCUGCAAAAUGACUUACCACCCACCCCAACCUCUACUAUGCCCAGAAAGUGGCUCCCCUCCCUCAAAGGGGAGCCUGGGAGCCCCCAAAGGCCACAAGUUUUUGUCCCACAGUAGCUAAUUUCUGCAGCAGGCUGCAUUUGGGUUCAAGGAUGACUCAGAGGGGAUGCAGCGCCCCAUUGCGUGUGGGCUUCCUGGAGAUUUGGGAGGCCAGAUGUCAGUGUCAACAAAGUCUAGGAAGUCACCCAGCAGAGGGUGGAAUGGAUAUUGAGAGCCAGACCACUGUGUCGAGUACACAUCUAUAAGACACCAGGCACAGUCAGCUCUGUUUUGGAUUCUCUUGGAGGAGGAUGGAAGGGGAGAUGCAUUCCCCUUUCUUUACCACAGACCACUGCACAGCUCUGGUACCUUGAGGGUUCACUGGUGCCCUUCGUUGGUGGUCUGCGGGAGUUUUGGCACCAGGAACGACAUGUCUGCAGAUCCAGAGAGCUGUCGCUGGGAGACAGUUUGUCCUGGUUGCCCUCUUUGGGGCGGCUGCCCUCCUCAGCCACCUGCUUUUCAGAAACCCUUCUUC